UACGUAGGGGGCAAGCGUUGUCCGGAUUUAUUGGGCGUAAAGCGCUCGCAGGUGGUUCGAUGCGUCGUGCGUGAAAGACCCCGGCUCAACUGGGGAGGGUCAUUCGAUACUGAUCGACUUGAAGGCAGGAGAGGGAAGUGGAAUUCCCGGUGUAGUGGUGAAAUGCGUAGAUAUCGGGAGGAACACCAGUGGCGAAGGCGGCUUCCUGGCCUGUUCUUGACGCUGAGGCGCGAAAGCUAGGGUAGCAAACAGG
rnacentral:rRNA from 1 species